GAACCUGGAGCUAACCUGUGUACUGCUAACUUGCUACAGAGGAAGCAGCAGAAAGCUGAGCUAACAGGCUGUUUUGCAGAUUGAAAACUACUGCAUUGCAUUACAAUGGAAGUGCUACACGGCCACAUGCAUCAACUGCAGCUGUUGACAAGCAUAUGGACCUAUUGUUCGAGUCCGUGGUGGUGGAUGCUCUAUCAUAUCAGGAAUCCGUGGUGGUGGAUG